CAAUGGGCGCAAGCCUGACCCAGCGACGCCGCGUGGGGGAUGAAGGCCUUCGGGUUGUAAACCCCUGUCAGGGGAGACGAAAGUCCUGCGCCUAACAGGCGCAGGAUCUGACGGUACCUCCAAAGGAAGCCCCGGCUAACUCCGUGCCAGCAGCCGCGGUAAUA
rnacentral:rRNA from 1 species